GUGAGUCAUCGAAUCUUUGAACGCACAUUGCGCCCCUUGGUAUUCCGGGGGGCAUGCCUGUUCGAGCGUCAUUUCAACCCUCAAGCUUAGCUUGGUAUUGAGUCUAUGUCAGUAAUGGCAGGCUCUAAAAUCAGUGGCGGCGCCGCUGGGUCCUGAACGUAGUAAUAUCUCUCGUUACAGGUUCUCGGUGUGCUUCUGCCAAAACCCAAAUUUUUCUAUGGUUGACCUCGGAUCAGGUAGGGAUACCCGCUGAACUUAAGCAUAUCAAUAAGCGGAGGA
rnacentral:misc_RNA from 1 species